GUUAGUACUUUUGAGUUAUUGUAUAAAAGAUGUUAACUUUAACCUUUAUUUCGCUUCCGUACUCAAAUUAUUAUUAUAUGCCAGAAUAGGCAUUUUAAAACCCUUUCGGCAAAUUUUAGGGUUUCGACACGAUGGCACCGCCGUGCUCUCGUGCCAGCUCCGCCACCCAUGGCAGUGGUUCACAUCGGUCUGGCCGGUUUCAGCCAAUUUUAGCCAGUUUUGGUCGAUUUCAUGCAUAAACUUAUGAAAAAAUGGGUUAGAAAGACUCGAUUUGCUGGGAAAGGCAAAAAAUCGAAACUUAUUGGCGGGGGAUCCUCGGGUGCAACGGCUUCGCUAGUUCUCCUUCGCGGCUGGGGUUCUUC
rnacentral:lncRNA from 1 species